UGCGGGGGGGGCAAGCGUUGUUCGGAAUUACUGGGCGUAAAGGCUCGUAGGCGGCCAACUAAGUCAGACGUGAAAUCCCUCGGCUUAACCGGGGAACUGCGUCUGAUACUGGAUGGCUUGAGAUUGGGAGAGGGAUGCGGAAUUCCAGGUGUAGCGGUGAAAUGCGUAGAUAUCUGGAGGAACACCGGUGGCGAAGGCGGCAUCCUGGACCAACACUGACGCUGAGUGAGCGAAAGCCAGGGGAGCAAACGGG
rnacentral:rRNA from 1 species